AGUGAACGCUGGCGGUAGGCCUAACACAUGCAAGUCGAACGGCAGCACAGUAAGAGCUUGCUCUUACGGGUGGCGAGUGGCGGACGGGUGAGGAAUACAUCGGAAUCUACUUUUUCGUGGGGGAUAACGUAGGGAAACUUACGCUAAUACCGCAUACGACCUACGGGUGAAAGCAGGGGAUCUUCGGACCUUGCGCGAGUGAAUGAGCCGAUGUCGGAUUAGCUAGUUGGCGGGGUAAAGGCCCACCAAGGCGACGAUCCGUAGCUGGUCUGAGAGGAUGAUCAGCCACACUGGAACUGAGACACGGUCCAGACUCCUACGGGAGGCAGCAGUGGGGAAUAUUGGACAAUGGGGGCAAGCCUGAUCCAGCCAUACCGCGGGGGUGAAGAAGGACUUCGGGUUGUAAAGCCCUUUUGUUGGGAAAGAAAAGCAGCAGGUUAAUACCCCGCUGUUCUGACGGUACCCAAAGAAUAAGCACCGGCUAACUUCGUG
rnacentral:rRNA from 1 species